CGGUGUGAUCAUACCAGCACUAAAGCAACGGAUCCCAUAAAAACUCCGAAGUUAAGCGUGCUUGGGCGAGAGUAGUACUAGGAUGGGUGACCUCCUGGGAAGUCCUCGUAUUGCAUUCC
rfam:Triticum aestivum genome assembly, contig: Triticum_aestivum_CS42_TGACv1_scaffold_050960_1BS